CGUAGGGGGCGAGCGUUGUCCGAAGUUACUGGGCGUAAAGCGCGCGUAGGCGGGGGAUUAAGUGAGAGGUGAAAGGCUGGGGCUCAACCUCAUGCAGUGCCUCUCAUACUGGUCUUCUUGAGGGCGGUAGGGAGAAGUGGAAUGGCUGGUGUAGCGGUGAAAUGCGUAGAUAUCAGUCGGAACACCGGUGGCGAAGGCGGCUUCUUGGGCCGUUCCUGACGCUGAGGCGCGAAAGCUGGGGGAGCGAACGGGAUUAGAUACCCCGGUAGUCCCAGCCUUAAACGAUGGAUACUAGGUGUCGGGGGUAUCGACCCCUCCGGUGCCGCAGCUAACGCAUUAAGUAUCCCGCCUGGGGAGUACGGCCGCAAGGUUG
rnacentral:rRNA from 1 species